GCUGCUGUGAGAAGAAGGAAGAGUCAGUGCCUGGAGGAACUGAAGAAGAAACAUCAAGGAGCUUGUGUGGACAUCUGGCAGCAGCUGUGGUCAGGGAGCACACAGAGCCCCUGGCUGGGAGCUGUUGGCUCUGUCCCCUCCAUCCCAGAUAUUCCCUGCCAUCUCACUGUGUUUCCAAUAACUUCAGCAAGCUUUGAAACGUGCUGCAGAAUGACACCAAAAAAGACCUACUCUAUAAUUGAAUUUGAAGAUAAUAGUAUUUAUGCUAAACAAAUUUAUCUCUUGUGUUCUUUGCAUUUUAAGCUUGUUUUUGUAAUCUAUCCUGUUCAAUAAUUUCUGAGGUCCUAAUCAAGGCUACCUAUCUCCUGUGAUGUAUUGAAUCACCCAGGAAAUUGCCUGUUGUUUAACAAUUAACCAAGCUCAU